GCCCCGCCCCUCUCCCGUUUCUCCGGACUUGGGGCGGAACCUGGACGUUGAGGCGGAGAUAAGGGGCGAAUGUGAAAAAUCAUUUUGUUACCCACCGUAAAGGAAUGUUAAUGAAUUGCUCUACUUGAGGCCCUGAGAGAGAUGAACAAAGUGAGACUCCAAGACGUCCACAAGGAUUCAAGUUUGCUACAGUCAACUUUUCCAGAGGGAAAUUGUCCCAGCACAAGUUCUCUGGACGAGGAAUACUAAGAUGUGGUUCACGUUCCUCAAAUUAAAAACUAAACUGAAACUAAAUUGCCCUGGAGCUACGCAAGGAGUUAAUAGCAAAGAGGGAAGAUGGAGGUGAAAUUCACUAUGUUCAUCUAAUCACUGAGUGGAGAACUGGAAUCUAAAAGUUUCUGACUCUACUUCCUUUCAUCCCUAAGACCAAGAGCCACCUUGUAACUGCAGAUAUGCAUUAGAUAGCAUCAUAAAAAUGAAUUAUUUAAAAGCC